rnacentral:rRNA from 1 species
UACGGAGGGUGCGAGCGUUGUCCGGAAUCACUGGGCGUAAAGGGCGCGUAGGCGGCGCGGGAAGUCCGUGGUGAAAGCCCGAGGCUCAACUUCGGGUCGGCCAUGGAUACUCCUGGGCUCGAGCACUGUAGAGGCAGGUGGAAUUCCGGGUGUGGCGGUGGAAUGCGUAGAGAUCCGGAAGAACACCGGUGGCGAAGGCGGCCUGCUGGGCAGUAGCUGACGCUGAGGCGCGACAGCGUGGGGAGCAAACAGG